UACAGAGGGGGCAAGCGUUGUUCGGAAUUACUGGGCGUAAAGGGCGCGUAGGCGGCCUUCUAAGUCGAACGUGAAAUCCCCGGGCUCAACCCGGGAACUGCGUCCGAUACUGGAAGGCUUGAAUCCGGGAGAGGGAUGCGGAAUUCCAGGUGUAGCGGUGAAAUGCGUAGAUAUCUGGAGGAACACCGGUGGCGAAGGCGGCAUCCUGGACCGGCAUUGACGCGUGAGGCGCGAAAGCUAGGGGAGCAAACGGG
rnacentral:rRNA from 1 species